UACAGAGGUCCCAAGCGUUGUUCGGAUUCACUGGGCGUAAAGGGUGCGUAGGCGGUUGGGUAAGUCUGACGUGAAAUCUCCGGGCCUAACCCGGAAACUGCGUUGGAUACUAUCCGGCUAGAGGAAUGGAGGGGAGACUGGAAUACUUGGUGUAGCAGUGAAAUGCGUAGAUAUCAAGUGGAACACCAGUGGCGAAGGCGAGUCUCUGGACAUUUCCUGACGCUGAGGCACGAAAGCCAGGGGAGCAAACAGG
rnacentral:rRNA from 1 species